GAUGAACGCUGGCGGCGUGCCUAAUACAUGCAAGUCGAGCGAACAGACGUGGAGCUUGCUCCUCUGACGUUAGCGGCGGACGGGUGAGUAACACGUGGAUACCCUCCCUAUAAGACUGGGAUAACUUCGGGAAACCGGAGCUCAUACCGGAUAAUAUAUUGAACCGCAUGGUUCAAUAUUGAAAGACGGUUUUGCUGUCACUUAUAGAUGGAUCCGCGCCGCAUUAGCUAGUUGGUAAGGUAACGGCUUACCAAGGCAACGAUGCGUAGCCGACCUGAGAGAGUGAUCGGCCACACUGGAACUGAGACACGGUCCAGACUCCUAGGGGAGGCAGCAGUAGGGAAUCUUCGGCAAUGGGCGAAAGCCUGACGGAGCAACGCCGCGUGGGUGAGGAAGGUCUUCGGUUCGUAAGACCCUGUUAUUGGGGAAGAACAAAUGUGUAAGUAACGAGGCAAGGCUUGACGGUACCGAAAUAGAAAGCCACGGCUAACUACGUG
rnacentral:rRNA from 1 species